GCUGGAGAUUGGUGUAUAAAUAUGUAUGGGAUCAAAAAGAAGACAAAGCAAAUGAGGACAAUGAAGGAAAUUGAGCUUCCAUAGAUUUGAUUGCCAAUUCAAAUGUGAUUCAAGAAUUAAAGAUCAGGACUUGCUCAUGGUGCAAAUGGAUGGUUUGGAUUGUUGGAGCAUGGAGAACUUUGUUUCUGACUUAUUGCGUGCAUUUUCCUCUAUUUGAUUUGUAAAUUUGGAUUGUGACUACUCAUUGAACUUGUUCUAGACUGGUUGUAUUUGGUUAGUCAACUAGUAGUUGGACUAGUGAACUUUUAAUAGUGAUUUGCUCAUUGCUGU